rnacentral:misc_RNA from 1 species
GACAAGCGAGUGGGAUGAGUGUAACUUCUGGCUUGCAACACUCAAACGAAUGAUAAAGACAAGGCAGGCCCGGGUGUGAGAUCAAGUUAAACCCCAAAAUCAUCCAAAUACAGUGAACUCCACUUUGCGUUUUCGAUUUCACAGGUGUGGUAAUGCUCCUUCGGAAUUGAUUGUUUCUUUCUUCAGUGUACACUAAGAAUAUCUUUUCUAGAGUGCAAUUACAGGGUUUUGGAUCGUUGGCCUACAUCUCGCCUUCAAAAAUCUCAAGGGCAGUAAAUCACGUUAUGCAAGCAGUUAGCGAGGAUAGUUGUCAGGUCAUUAAAGAAACUGAAACUAGUUGCU